rnacentral:lncRNA from 1 species
UGCCCAUGGCAUGCAGAAGUUCCCAAGUCAGGCAUCAAAUCCAUGCCACUGCAGUAAUCAGAGUCACUGCAGGAACAACACCAGAUCCUUAACCCACUGAACCACAAGGGAGCUCCUCUGCUGUCUCUUCUUAUAGGGACACAAAUCCUACCCAAUCAGGACCCCAUUCUUAUGACCUCACUUAACAUUAAGUACUUCCCUAGAGACUCCACAUCCAAAUACAGCCGCAGCAGGGAUUAGCGUUUCAACAUAUAAGUAUUGAUGCCCCCCCCCCAUAUUCAGUCCAUAACACUGACAUAGAGUUAAGCAUUCAAUAAAUAUGAGGAUAAAAAUGAUAAAUAUUAUUAAAGGUGAAGAAACAGCAGCCAGAAGUUUUGGCAUGCCCAAGAGCACAUAGCAAGUCAGCAGCAGAGCUGAAACUCAAAGCAAAGUCCUCAGGCUGAAUCCAAUGGCCAUAGGUACCACAGAGGUACUUCCUCUGUCCCCCACAAGGUAGGCCCAGAGAUUGGAAGUGUUUGAGCUACGGGAAAAGUACAGCCCAGUUCCUGAAUUUGGUGGCAACAGGUGACUCCAGGUAACCUCAACUCAAGAACUGGCCCUCUGGUCCCUUUUCCCAUCGGAUGAGCCCCCGGCCACGCUGAGACUUCCUUCCCAUCUUGGAGUGAGGCACCCGGGCCCAGGCUGGCUGCAGGGCUGUGUCCAUGUGUGCAUGAGUGGGCUGUGGGUCUCACCCAAUCUGGUUAUAAACGGCCUCUUACCAGGCCCUUUACAACCAGACUCCCGCAUUUCCCAGAAUAAUCUCGCUCAUUACGAUGCCUGCAGACUUUUCAAGCCAGCUCAUUUUUCUUCCCUUUGUCUCAAAUUCCAAUACGCUGCCCUUUUCAAGAGAUUUCCGAGCGCGCUGUUCACAGCGCCCAUUCGGUGGCGGGGGGAAGGGGGGGCGGUGGAGAGAAGGGGGUGGAAGUGUCCCCAGAGGGUGAGUGGUAUAUCAGCCUUAGUUUAAAAAAAGAAAAAAAAAAAAAAGAUGAAGGAAAAAGCUUUGUCUGCUAAAUCUCCCCAUUUUGGAAUCAAAUGUUAUUUAAAAUUCAGGACAAAUUCUCAGCUCUCUGGCUGACAAAUUCCACACAAGCACAGAGGAGAAGCAAGAGGGAGAUGAGAGAGGUGAUGUGUGAGGUGUCUAAGGCUGGGUCAUUAAAUGUCCGAUAAGUGAGCACCUACUGUGUGCCAGGUCCUGUGCGGGCUGCCAGGGAUACUGGGAUAAUUAAAGCAGAUGCUAUGUCACCCGUGGAGUUUAAAGUCUAGUGAAGGAGACAGAUAGGACCACCUAGGCACCCACAUUCAUAAUUAUAACCAGAGCAUCUGUUCCAGAGGAAAAGUACAUGGGACUAGGAAAGCCUGUAACUUGGAUUUGGGAGAGUACGCAAGAGAGGCACCAGUUUUGGGACCUGCCAGGUGAGAAGGAGAGAAAAUUCCUUCAGGAUAAAAGGACAGCACAAGCAAAGCCCUGGAGCCAAAGUGCCUCAAAGUUCAGGAACCAGUGUCUGAAGAGCUGGCAGGACACCAGGUUCCUGGAGGCCCAGAGAGUGACUGGGAAGUGGAGAGGGGUGGACCUGGGGAUGCAGGCUAGUGAGGUUACGCUGGGUCUUGCAGCCACUGUAAGGCUCUUGGUUUUUAUCCUCAGAACAAGAUGGAGCUGCCAAAAGGUUUUAAGAGGAAGAGUAACAAGUAAGAUUUGUGGUUUGGAAGUUCCCAUCAUGGCGCAGAGGAAACAAAUACAACUAGGAACCAUGAGAUUGUGGGUUUGAUCCCUGGUCGCUCAGUGGGUUAAGGAUCCAGCAUUGCCAUGAGCUGUGGUGUAGGUCACAGAUGCGGCUCGGAUCUGGUGUUGCUGUGGCUGUGGCAUAGGCUGGUGGCUACAGCUCCGAUUCAACCCCUAGCCUGGGAACCUCCAUAUGCCGGGGGUGGGGCCCUCAAAAAAAAAAAAAAAAAAAAAAAAAAAAAAAAGAUUUGUGGUUUGCAAAAGUUACUCUGGCCACUCGGCAGGGAAUAGGCUGGAUCAAAGCACGGGAUGAAAGUGGGGACCCAACAAGAGAAGUUGGUGGCUUGGGCACCAGUAGAGGUGGUGGUAGCAAUAGAGAGAAGGGACAGAGUCUAGGGAAUUCUUCUGAUGAUGUCAUCCAGAUGAUAGCAAAAAUGGACACAAAGUCUUCCUCUCCCCGAAUCCAGGACACUGUGGUCCCUUGCCAUGUGGAUGCUACGUUCGGCCACAAGACAUUCCUUGGCCAAGGGACAACAGCAAACAAUGCAACAGAGAUUUAAACAUUGUCUGCACCUUGGAGCCCACUCUAUUCUUGCUGCUUUGGGGACCACAUGAUCACUAUGUGAAGAAGCAGGGCUAGUCUGCUAGAGAGAUGGGUGGAGUGGUCCCCUCGACUCCCCAGCCAACAUCCUGCAAAUUGCCCGGCAGGUGUGAUGCCAUCCUGGAUCACCCAGCUGCCAGCCAGCCAGCCAACCAGCUGAUCACAGCUACAUAAGUAAGCCCAGCAGGGGUCAACUGAACAUGCUUAGACCAGGACCACCUGAUUACCCAGAGAAUUGUGAGCUAACUAAAUGGAUGUCAUUUGAAGCCAUUAACUUUUGGAGGUGGUCGGCUAACUCAUAUACAUUCUGCUUUCUCUUGAUGGAUCAUAAGCUUAAGAGCAGGAACUUACUGGUCUUCUUUACCACCACUCUAUCCUCAGUGCCUAGAACAGUGCCAGACAAAUGGUAGAUACUCAAUGAAUAGGUAUUAAGUGCAUGCAUAUAUGAAUAAAUGAAUACUAUUUAUUUGGUUCCCCAGGGAAAGACAUGCUGUACCUGCCCCAUUAGCAAUUGAGACCAACACUUCUGGGUGGAAAUCAAGUCCAUAUUCAACCUUUAUGCAAGUCUUCAAUGUGCCGGGUUGGCAUAAUAUUAAAUACUGAGGACAAAGGGGAAAAGGCAUAUUCUCUGCAUAGAAGGAGAAUCCUGACUGGUGGAUGAGAUGGACACAGAAAAUAGCAACAACCUCUCCUGUUCUUUGUGCACUUACUAUAGUCCAAGCACUUUAAAAAGAGUGUUUCCUUCCAUCCUCAUAAAAACCAAAAGAGGAAGACGUAAUUGGUGUCCCAUUUACAUGGAUAAGAAAACUGAGGCACAGAGUAGUUAAAUGACUUGCCCCAUGGAAGAGAGCCAGCUUGAGGACUUUGCUCUAAGUGUGGUACUGGGAUCACAGAGUUGUACAAAGGAGGCAUUCAUGCUGCCCAGGGUGGGAAGGCAGUGGUAGCAAUGAGUCAGAAAACCUUGUGCAAAUAAGUUGACUCUAGAAGGAAGAACUAGAGUUCUCCGUGGGUGCAAAUACAGGAACAGCAUCCCAGGCUGAGAGCACAGAGUGGACUGAGCCUGGAGGCGUGGAGGUACAUGGUCUGCUUGGGGAGCUAUAAGGUGAAGAAGUGACCAGAAAGACAGGGCAAGAGGGAGAGGGGUGAGGCCAGCUGGGAGGGGUGAUGGGAAGCAAUGAUGGCUGCAAGGGGAGGCCAUGCCAUCUCAUGGGACCCCUCUGCCACCCAUCUCCCACUGAGGCUGCCUCUCAGCUGUUACCCCAGUAUCACCCUAGAUGGAGUUAAGACCUGGCUUCUGAUCCAAGCUUUCAUUCCUAACUGUAUGGGUUUGGGAAAUUAGAUCACUUGCCAACUUUGGGCCUAAGUUUCCCCAGCUGUGAACAGAAAAUGUAGGCAACAUCACAAGAAUUUCUCUGCAUUUAGUACCUAGUAUGCACCAGGAGGUGGCUGUCUCAUAGAUUUAGUGUAAGGAUUGCAUAGGUUAAUGCAUAUGGUGAUUAGCAUAGCGCCUGGUGCAGAGUAAGCACUCAAUACACAUUAGUCUUAACUGUUGCUGGUGUUAUUUCAGAGUAACCAUUUCAGAAUAACCCUGUGGGUGAGAGUGAAUAUCAGUGGCUCUGGACACACACUACUGGGAUUUAAAUCCCUGCUCUGCCACUUUCUUGCUGUGUGACUUUGAGAAAGUUACUUGCCAGUCUGAGCCUCAGCUUCCUUGUCUAUAAACUGGGGAUCCCAAUGAUGUCUAUCCCAUUGAUUGUUGUAAGGAUUAAAAGAGUUAAUGCUUAUAAAAUGUUUAACUCCUAGAACCUGGUUAUGGUUAGAAGCCCCAUUAUGCAGACAGCAAAGUUGAGGCUUGGAGAGGCCACGAAACUUGCUCCAGGGCAUACAUCUAACAAAUGGUAAGUCUGGGAUUUACCUGAAAAAAAUUCUAACUCCCUAUCCUGUGCUCCUAGCUGGUGUUCCAGAUGUAUCAGAAGCAUCUCCCAACGGCUAGGAUCCAGUUAAAAGUAUGACGGCCUUGGACGAAAGUCAUCGUAAAACUCCAGUAUGAAGAAUGACUAUUCCAGGAAAAAACAACAACAACAAAAAAAACCUUUUAAAUCCCCAGAGAGGUAAGAAUUAAUGUAUGUUCCUGAUAUACAAGCAUACCACAUUUCCAAGUUGGUUUUAUGAGGGAAAGCUCUAAACUUCUAUGAUUUGAAGGUGGUAAAUGGUAAGGAUGAGGUAUUAAACUUUGUGUGGGCGCUACUGCCUCAAAUCCUCUCUGGAAUGAGGCGAGGGGUAAAUAAACUCAUACCUAAGGAAGGGUGUGGCAACAGCCUUGGUCUGGGAGGGACAGCUGGUCCCCAUCCCAGCUCCAUCCCCAUCCUGCCCUGGGACUUGAGCAGGACACUUAACCCUCUCUGCAGCCACACUUCCCUGUCAGUACGGUGACCCCUAAUUUCUGAUCCUAACUGGGAAACUUGACAAAAGCGGAUGCUAGAAAUAAUCACCCCAGAACCACGGAUGUCAACUUUGUCCUGGCAACUCAGACAUGGGUGCCCUGCCUACCGAAGCCUGAAAUUACACCAAAAAUUUGUAAGGUUUUCCUACUCGGAUGUUUUUGGACAAAAAUCUGUUGCUGAGAACUGAUCUUAUUCAGGUAUUAGAAAUGCUGGGACCUCAUAGAAGAACGUAUUCAGUGAAACACAGUGAGUCAGGGAGAAAGCUAGUCUGCGUCUGUUCUGAGGGAAGCAGGACCAUGAUAAAUACAUGAAAACAAAAGAGGACGAGACAUCAUAAGGUAAUUCUCUGAAUCUCCAUGGUGCUCUCAUGAGCUGAUCCUGGGGCAAGCCACGCUAUUUCUCUCCAUUCAUCAGACAAAAAAAAAAAAA